AUACGGAGGGGACUAGCGUUGUUCGGAAUUACUGGGCGUAAAGCGUACGUAGGCGGAUCAGAAAGUAUGGGGAGAAAUCCCAGGGCUCAACCCUGGAACUGCCUCAUAAACUCCUGGUCUUGAGUUCGAGAGAGGUGAGUGGAAUUCCGAGUGUAGAGGUGAAAUUCGUAGAUAUUCGGAGGAACACCAGUGGCGAAGGCGGCUCACUGGCUCGAUACUGACGCUGAGGUACGAAAGUGUGGGGAGCAAACAGGAUUAGAUACCCUAGUAGUCC
rnacentral:rRNA from 1 species